rnacentral:rRNA from 1 species
AUUGAACGCUGGCGGCAGGCCUAAUACAUGCAAGUCGAGCGAGCGGCGGACGGGUGCGUAAUGUAUGGGGACUGCCCGAUAGAGGGGGAUAACUACUGGAAACGGUAGCUAAUACCGCAUACUAUCGGAUAACCCAUACGGGAUUAGCUAGUAGGUGAGGUAAUGGCUCACCUAGGCGACGAUCCCGAGCUGGUCUGAGAGGAUGAUCAGCCAAACUGGGACGGAGACACGGCCCAGAUGCUUCCGGAGGCAGCAGUGGGGAAUAUUGGAAAAGGGGCGAAAGCCUGCUGCAGCCAUGCCGCGUGUAUGAAGAAGGCCCUAGGGUUGUAAAGUGUGUUCAGUCGGGAGGCGUUACCGACAGAGGAAGCACCGGCUAACUCCGUGCCAGCAGCCGCGGUAAUAC